rnacentral:tRNA from 1 species
GCGACCAUGGCGGAAUUGGUAGACGCGCUAGAUUCAGGUUCUAGUCGGGGCAGCUCGGUGGAAGUUCGAGUCUUCCUGGUCGCA